AUGGGGCGUAGCCAAGCGGUAAGGCAACGGGUUUUGAUCCCGCUAUUCGGAGGUUCGAAUACUUCCGUCCCAGA
rnacentral:tRNA from 1 species